GGGAAUGUGGCUUAGUGGUAGAGUGCUUGCCUAGCAUGCAUGAAGCUCCAGGUUCAAUUCCUCAUUACCA
rfam:Dipodomys ordii contig_31723, whole genome shotgun sequence.